CCCGAAAGGGAGCCGUAACACAGGUGCUGCAUGGCUGUCGUCAGCUCGUGACGUGAGAUGUUGGGUUAAGUCCCGCAACGAGCGCAACCCUUGUCCCUAGUUGCUACGCAAGAGCACUCCAGGGAGACUGCCGGUGACAAACCGGAGGAAGGUGGGGAUGACGUCAAGUCCUCAUGGCCCUUAUGGGUAGGGCUUCACACGUCAUACAAUGGUCGGAACAGAGGGUUGCCAAGCCGCGAGGUGGAGCCAAUCCCAGAAAACCGAUCGUAGUCCGGAUCGCAGUCUGCAACUCGACUGCGUGAAGCUGGAAUCGCUAGUAAUCGCGGAUCAGCAUGCCGCGGUGAAUACGUUCC
rnacentral:rRNA from 1 species